UCGGGAAUUUUGGGCAAUGGGCGAAAGCCUGACCCAGCAACGCCGCGUGAAGGAUGAAGUCUUUCGGGAUGUAAACUUCGGAAAUAUGGGAAGAAUAAAUGACGGUACCAUAUCUAAGGUCCGGCUAACUACGUGCCAGCAGCCGCGGUAAUACGUAGGGACCAAGCGUUGUUCGGAUUUACUGGGCGUAAAGGGUGCGUAGGCGGCGCCGCAAGUCAAUUGUGAAAUCUCCGGGCUUAACUCGGAACGGCCAAUUGAUACUGCAGUGCUAGAGUGCAGAAAGGGCAACUGGAAUUCUUGGUGUAGCGGUGAAAUGCGUAGAUAUCAAGAGGAACACCUGAGGCGAAGGCGAGUUGCUAGGCUGACACUGACGCUGAGGCACGAAAGCCAGGGGAGCGAACGGGAUUAGAUACCCCCGUAGUCC
rnacentral:rRNA from 1 species